GUGCCAGCAGCCGCGGUAAUACGUAGGUGGCGAGCGUUGUCCGGAAUUACUGGGUGUAAAGGGCGUGUAGGCGGGAGAGCAAGUCAGAUGUGAAAUCCCAAGGCUCAACUUUGGGGCUGCAUCUGAAACUGUUCUUCUUGAGUACUGGAGAGGGAAGCGGAAUUCCUAGUGUAGCGGUGAAAUGCGUAGAGAUUAGGAGGAACACCAGUGGCGAAGGCGGCUUCCUGGACAGAGACUGACGCUGAGGCGCGAAAGCGUGGGGAGCGAACAGGAUUAGAUACCCUGGUAGUCCACGCCGUAAACGAUGGAUACUAGGUGUAGGAGGUAUCGACACCUUCUGUGCCGGAGUUAACACAAUAAGUAUCCCACCUGGGGAGUACGGCCGCAAGGUUGAAACUCAAAGGAAUUGGCGG
rnacentral:rRNA from 1 species